rnacentral:misc_RNA from 1 species
AACCUUAUGGACCUGCGGGCGAAUACCUGCGGAAGGAUCAUUACAAGUGACCCCGGUCUAACCACCGGGAUGUUCAUAACCCUUUGUUGUCCGACUCUGUUGCCUCCGGGGCGACCCUGCCUUCGGGCGGGGGCUCCGGGUGGACACUUCAAACUCUUGCGUAACUUUGCAGUCUGAGUAAACUUAAUUAAUAAAUUAAAACUUUCAACAACGGAUCU